rnacentral:rRNA from 1 species
GACGAACGCUGGCGGCGUGCUUAACACAUGCAAGUCGAACGGAAAGGCCCUGCUUUUGUGGGGUGCUCGAGUGGCGAACGGGUGAGUAACACGUGAGUAACCUGCCCUUGACUUUGGGAUAACUUCAGGAAACUGGGGCUAAUACCGGAUAGGAGCUCCUGCUGCAUGGUGGGGGUUGGAAAGUUUCGGCGGUUGGGGAUGGACUCGCGGCUUAUCAGCUUGUUGGUGGGGUAGUGGCUUACCAAGGCUUUGACGGGUAGCCGGCCUGAGAGGGUGACCGGCCACCUUGGGACUGAGGUACGGACCAGACUCCUACGGGAGGCAGCAGUGGGGAAUAUUGCACAAUGGGCGGAAGCCUGAUGCAGCAACGCCGCGUGCGGGAUGACGGCCUUCGGGUUGUAAACCGCUUUCGCCUGUGACGAAGCGUGAGUGACGGUAAUGGGUAAAGAAGCACCGGCUAACUACGUG